rnacentral:misc_RNA from 1 species
CGCACAUUGGAAAAACAAGUCAAACUGUAAUUUGCUCUACUCUAAGAGAGCGAGACGCGACACCUGUCACCACAAAUUCGAAUUCUGGACUCUCGUGCCCGUGCGACGCGACGGAGAUACCACUCCCAAACCAAUUUUGUUUACUUUUCUAAAUUAUUUAUUUAAUUUAUUAAUGAUAAUUAACAAUUGCAGCCGUGGUUAAUUUUGUCGUUUCGCGUCAAUGAAGAUGUCCACUGUUUUUCUCUGUAGAAAAUAAUUUGCGGUGAUGCUUUUAGCUGUUGUUCUGUUUUCUCACUAAUUAUUUUUAAAAUUUACAAGUAAACCGCCGCCCCGGCGCACGAUAGCGCACGUAGCUACUUCCUUGUCUCCUGCAUAUAAUUAAGCUUGCUUCAAAAUCUUUCUCGGGAAGGUUCGUCCUGUGAAAAAAAGAAAGAGAAAAAGAACAAUAAAGUACUUGGCUGGAUCGUCGAAACGUAAUCGAGGUUUAUCAAUUCUGCUUUCCUUGUUGCUGUACACCAAUAAUUGAUUGGAUGCUGCAGCCUCUUCGCACGGCUUGCUGCUUUUUGGGCAUGUGGGGACGACAGCGUGAGGCAAACUCAAUGUACAAACGAAUGCCGUCAAGAGAUUAUACAAAUAUAGUUGAUGUAGAAGAUAAUUCAGGUGAAAUCCAUCUGCUAUAGUAUCCAAUGUUGAUGUUUUGGUUCAUUUUUUCACGCAUUUUUCUUUAUAGCUAUGCUUAUAGAAUCGUCUGAAUUUUUAUUAUCAACUAUAGUCCAUAGCUUCCAUUGUGGUUAUCUGAGCACUUUCCACCAGCGGAUUGUGUGGUUUUUAGUAUUUGAUCUGAAAAAUAAUCUAAAGCAAUGACAAAUCUCAAGUUUGAUGCGUAAUUUUCUUCUUUUGGCAUUAUCAAUUUUGGGUUUCUGUUCUACCUUUGUUUUCCUUUUUUAAAAUAUUUGCAGUUGUGUGUGUGGCUUUUCUUUGAUUUUUCAAAUUUGAACAAAUCUUUUUGAGAUGACAUUUGAGCUUGAUUCCAUUGUAUGUUGGUUUAGCUCUUGUACAGAAUGAUCAGGAUCCAGAAGCUUCGAAUCCUUCAUGGAGGCUUUCUUUUCCACAUAUACUGGUGGCAACCAUAACAUCCUUCUUAUUUGGCUACCAUAUUGGUGUUGUAAAUGAACCACUUGAAAGCAUCUCAUUGGAUCUUGGAUUCAAUGGAAAUACCUUGGCAGAAGGCCUGGUGGUUAGCACAUGUUUGGGUGGUGCCUUAAUUGGAUCCCUGUUUAGUGGAUGGAUUGCGGAUGGGUUUGGGCGCCGUCGGGCUUUUCAGUUGUGUGCUUUGCCCAUGGUUAUUGGUGCUUCUGUAAGUGCAACAGCAACAACUUUGGCUGGUAUGCUUUUUGGAAGGUUAUUAGUAGGGAUCGGACUGGGUGUUGGUCCCCCUGUAGCAUCUCUUUAUGUGACAGAGGUUUCUCCUGCUUUUAUAAGGGGCACUUAUGGAAGCUGCAUCCAGAUUGCAAACUGUAUUGGACUUAUGGGGGCUCUGUUCAUUGGAAUCCCUGUCGGAGAAAUUGCAGGCUGGUGGCGCAUCUGUUUCUGGGUGUCUGCAAUUCCUGCUGGAAUACUUGCACUUGCCAUGGGGUUCUGUGCAGAGUCUCCACAUUGGCUAUACAAGCAAGGAAGAAGCACUGAAGCUGAAAUUGAAUUUGAGAAACUUUUAGGUGGAGCAAAUGUCAAAUUUGCAAUGCAAGAGUUAUCCAAAUUAGAUAGAGGGGAUGACACAGACACUAUGAAGCUCUCUGAAUUGUUUU